rnacentral:misc_RNA from 1 species
CCAAUAGCGUAUAUUAAAGUUGUUGCAGUUAAAAAGCUCGUAGUUGAAUUUCGGGACCAUCAUGUCGGUCGUGCCUCGGUACGUACUGGCAUUGUUGGUUUCUCCCUUCUGACGAACCAUGAUGUCAUUUAUUUGGUGUUGUGGGAAAUCAGGACUGUUACUUUGAAAAAAUUAGAGUGUUUAAAGCAGGCUCCCGCUUGAAUACAUUAGCAUGGAAUAAUGAAAUAGGACGUUUGAUUCUAUUUUGUUGGUUUCUAGGAUCGACGUAAUGAUUAAUAGGGAUAGUUGGGGGCAUUAGUAUUCAAUUGUCAGAGGUGAAAGUCUUGGAUUUAUUGAAGACUAACUACUGCGAAAGCAUUUGCCAAGGAUGUUUUCAUUAAUCAAGAACGAAAGUUAGGGGAUCGAAGACGAUCAGAUACCGUCGUAGUCUUAACCAUAAACUAUGCCGACUAGGGAUCGGAUGAUGUUAAUUUUUUAAUGACUCAUUCGGCGCCUUACG